rnacentral:sRNA from 1 species
CCCAGAGGUAUUGAUAGGUGAACGCGGCCCCCAGGGUUGCACACUCGAAUUACACCAACCUGCGCAGAUGCGCAGGUUUUUUUU